rnacentral:misc_RNA from 1 species
CUGCCCUCAAGCACGGCUUGUGUGUUGGGCUUCGCCCCCCGUUCUUCGGGGGGCGGGCCCGAAAGGCAGCGGCGGCACCGCGUCCGGUCCUCGAGCGUAUGGGGCUUUGUCACCCGCUCUGUAGGCCCGGCCGGCGCCCGCCGGCGACACCCAAAUCAAUCUAUCCA